AUGACUACCAGGAAAGGAAAAUAGGAGCCUCAUUCUUUCAAUUGGGGUGAAGCUUUAUAGUGAUUGAGCAGGGUACAGAUGGGGGGCAGCUACUGUAGAGGCCUGCUGGUGAAGGCAACACUUUGCUCCCGCCAAGGACGACGUUAGACUUGACAUGAACAAAACCAUGCCCAGCCCUUGGGGAACUGAGGAUCGAGUGUAACCAGUCUCAACCCUGUGCUGUUUUUUUUUUUUUUUUUUUUUUACUGAGAUGAAGUUUGUUUGCAAGUAACCAGGUAAUCCCUAGAAUGAAAGUUAAGAGCUCUUGCUUAGAACCUGUGGACUAUUGAGUUUUGGUGGAUGGGUUUGUUGUGGGUAAUGUGGGGAGACUUAAACUAGGAACACAGAACAGGAUGAGAAAGUCAAGGAAACCCUGGGCUGCAUAUGGAGCUCAAGUCCAAUCCGGACUACAAGUGACUCUGUCUUAAAAAAUGCCAUAUGUGUAUAUAACAUGGAAGGCAGCAGGGAGCCCUGGGAUAACGCUCAGAGAAUGUUAUAGACAAGCUAUGGCUGAAUGUUGUAGACCGGCGAUGUCCCAUCUCCCUCAGUUUCAGGAGAGAGUCAAAGGCCGAGGUAUCCCCUGUUCCCAGGUUCCCAGGAGCUCUUCAAGGCACUGAGCUGAAUGUAGAGAGACUCCUGCUGGUAUCAGACUCUCAGGAUCUGCCAGGAUGGCCAAAAAUGGUACAGGCUGGAAAUCUGAAUUUAGGUCUCCUAAGCAGAGAUGCAGGCAGAACAAUCAGGAGUAAUAAGACAAAAAGAAGAACUUAGCAGGAAGCUAAGAACAAAGGAUGCCGUCUCUGUUGUGAACAAGGCUCUCUACCAAAUAUAGUUUUAAUGCUCAUUGCUGGUUAAUGGCAGUUCUUAGCAAGAAACCUUGUUGUGAACUUCGCGAUAAAGCAGAGAGUUUUUGCAAUCUUUGAAACCUUUCACUUUGGAAAUAUCCACAAAACAAAUGGGAAAAACAAACAUUAAUGAGGCAGAUAUAAAACACUUUGGAGAAAAAAUAAUUUAACAUUUUUAUGGUUGCUAUAGAAACACCUCAGCCCUCACUCUUGCUAAUUAGUCGGGUUUUACACAUUUUAUAUUUGGAAAUGCAAAUCAGUUUUCAUAAAUUAUUACUUAUUUUUUUCCCCAUUUAUAUUUACAGUACUGGUGUACGGAGACACACGGGAAGUCUAGACGAUUACUUAGUUAUAUAACGUGACAUACUUAGUUAUGUGAGCCUGACAUUUAUGUCCACAAGACACUUCUUAGUUUAAAUAUUCUCCUGUUAAAUGUUGUGGGAAAUUAUGCAGAGAUUUAUAAUUUUUACAGAAGAAAAUGAGAAAAUGUAAAUCAUGUGGCGGCUCUCUAAAGUGCUUUCUCAUGGAGUCUUGGGAGGAGGAGGGCCCUUUACCCCCAGUGGAUUCUAAAUAAUAAACAUUUUAAGACUUUCCUCCAGCCGUGGGAAUUAUGGCUGGCUUGGGUGUCUUCUGAACUUUGGGUAUGAAACGCUGACCAUCUGCAAGCAGUUACUGGACUCUUGGUGAUUGGAGAAGACAGAAGUGUUUGGAGGAAAGGAACUAUGGGAUGGCUGUAAGAUCUGGGGCGGCAGGGAGUCUGGUAGAAUAGAGAUGGGUGGCUCUCAGACUCAGUAGACAGCAAUUAGAGAUCCAUUUUCAGUUUACGGUUAGGAGAUGGGAGGAGCUUAGGCCUCAGGACCAUUUGGCAGACUUGGUUCAAGCUUUAACUGAGCUACAUCUUAGCCUCAGGAUUGAGGCAAGUGAUUUGACCACUCCAAGAUUGCUCCUGUGAAAUGGAGACAAGAAGAACGACUGGCCCGUUGCAUAGUCUUUGUGUAAAUGAGAUCAUGGGAUCGUUGCAAGGAGUUUGCUUAGGGACGUGAGCAUGGUAAAUGUUUAGUUAGCACUAUCAAGUAAAAACAUCAUAGUAGGAUUGGAGAGAUGGCUCGCUCAGCAGUCAGAAAAAUUUAGAUGCUUCCCCAGAAGAUCCAGCCUCAGUUUCCUGUGCCCAUAUGGUGGCUCGUGACUCUCUGUAACUCCAGUCCUGGAAAACCUGACACCCUCUUCUGGCCUCUGUAUACCAAGCAUGCUGUGGCACAUAGGCAAACAUGCUGACAAGACACCACCACACAUAAAUAAAUAAAUGAAUGAAUGAAUAAAUAAACAAACCGUAUCAUAGUCAAUUCUCAUUGUAGAUAUAUUUAAUCUUCCCGAUUCCAACUAUGUAAAAGUAAAGAAAACC
rnacentral:lncRNA from 1 species